rnacentral:misc_RNA from 1 species
UUUAAGUUGCCUGUAUAUUAAAAUUAAUUAGUUGCAUUGAAGAUUAAGAAAGGAUGUGUACAGCCAUUGAUAUCAUCAAAAUGACCAAUUUUUGGCCAUUGAUGCCCUAUUAGAACACCAACUAACACAAGACAUGGCCAUUCUGGCCUUUCCAUAUGAAAACAAAAGGCACAUCUACAUGAUUACAUUUCCGCAUACACAUGGAGGUGAUGAAGAUCAAUGGAAGGCAGCAGUGACAGCCCUUGAAGUCUUGGCGGAGGGGGCAUCAGGCUGCGGGGAUGGGAGUAAGGUGAAUGCAAAUAUUCCACUGGCCGCGGCAGCAACCCCUCCCACCACAAAAGCUGGUAGAUUACCCCCUCCAAAUAAUGCAUCCCAUGGUCCGCUUACUACUGACACCACCAUCUGUGGUAUAACAAUUGAAAGAUUCAGAACUCCCAAAGAAAGUCCUUGACCAGCACCAGCAGUGUUACAAAAUAUUGAUGCCAAAGCAAAGGGAAUACUGUAAGUUAUAGCUUGAGGUACACCCAUCACCGCAAAAAGGGCCAAUGCACCAGCCUUGACGUCUCCAGGUGGUGGCAAGGGAACCGUGGCGCCGCCUCCCACGGUGGCGAACCUUCUGUGGGAUUCAGCCAUUUUGGUGAUCAAGAUCGUCAUGAACAAACAAAAUGAAAGAAUGAAAUUCACUAUACCCCACAAUCUUUUCACUCCUCCGACAGCACGCGCCAGCACCUCCACACCAAGGGAGGUGAACCCCAAAACCACCGAGUUAAGCAUCAGACCCAGUGCACCAGCGCGCACCCCACGAUCAUACAACCUCACUUGAUCGGGAUUUCCGUUUGAAUCUCCGCCGUAUACCUCUCUACCCAUCCAAUCAGUAUCGAACAACAAGAAUGGAAACCAUGCAACCCAGUUCAGGCACGUCACCAGAAGAAGGAUCCACAUGGGUUUUUGCAGAUUCUUCAAAGAUGCAAAUAUCUCACUGAAGAACGGCAUCGGAGAAGACUCCGACGCCCCCUCGUCCUCCUCCUCCUCGUCACCGGCAGCGGUGUUUCCUCGCUCUGGGGACCAAGGCUUUUCACGAACGUAAAUGAGAGCUAAUACAGUGAGAGUUAAAAGCAAGACAAUGGAGAUAAAGAAACAAGAUUUCAGAUUUGCACAGUAAACGUCGCAAGCUUUCGUCUUUGUGAAUGGAAAUAUUUUAUAUAAAUGAGUGUAGGAUCCAGCGGCAAAGCCAAGAACGUUCCCGACGGCCAUGAAGAAGGAGUACAGUGCAUUAGCUAUACGCGUCUUCUUCUGAUUGGCACCAGAAAGAUCGGCGAGGAGAGCACGGCAAGGACCCUGGAGCAUGUUAUUAGCGACGUCAAGAAUCCAGAACCCAACGACAAACACGGCUAUAGCUCGUGGUUUGGGGCUCUUGGCAACAGGGUCACCAGAGAGUUGACCAAGGUCAGCAGCAUAACCGAUAAGGAAAACAGCUACAGCAACGGCCAAAGCACCGCCUGCAAUAAAAGGGCGGCGACGGCCAAAACGGGAGGUGCAACGAUCACUAUGAUAGCCGACAAUUGGCUGGACAAGCAUUCCUGAAAUGGGUCCACAUAGCCAGAUGAAAGCAGCCCAUGUGUGAGGUAUACCAAGAAGCUGAACGUAAGGUGUCAAAAGAGAGAGCUGCAAAGCCCAGCCAAACUGGAUACCAGCAGCUAUGGAGGCCACCAUUACAAUCUUUCUAAGCUUGCUUGAAGCGGGUGGUGGAGGAGCUAGGGGCGGAGGAGUUGGAAGAGGUUCAGAAGAGGGGAGUUUGGAUUCUUUCGUAGGAUCAGUCUCCAUGGGAGUUGGUGGUGAGAAGAGUGUGGCGGCGGUGAUGGUGGUUGUGGUGGUGGUAGAAGUAGAGAGGUGGUUUUGUACAUAGUUGGGUCGGAUUUGCAUGGGAAUUUAUAAUAGAGUGGCAACUGGCAAAGAGUGGGUAUGGCCUUAUCCAAAAUGGUCUACGUCUUCAGUUGCAAAAUAGUGUACGGUGCAGAUUCCUUCUUUCCACGUGUGC